rnacentral:rRNA from 1 species
AGCGCAGGUGGUUGUAUAAGUCUGAAGUAAAAGGCAGUGGCUCAACCAUUGUGUGCUUUGGAAACUGUACAACUUGAGUGCAGAAGGGGAGAGUGGAAUUCCAUGUGUAGCGGUGAAAUGCGUAGAUAUAUGGAGGAACACCGGUGGCGAAAGCGACCACCUGGACUGAUACUGACACUGAGGUGCGAAAGCGUGGGGAGCAAACA